rnacentral:tRNA from 2 species
GCUCGCGUAGUGUAGCGGUCCAUCAUGAAGGCCUCUCGAGCCUUCGACUCGGGUUCAAAUCCCGGCGCGAGCACCA